rnacentral:ribozyme from 1 species
CAAAAAACAAAAGCAAGAAAAAAAGAAAAAAACGAAAGGGAAAACUAUACGAUUGUCGACAAAAACAAUGGACUUGUCGCACGUCAUAUACUCACACAUCAUUUUCCCGUUUUACCUCUUCUCUUCUCUUCUCUUCUAUUGUUAAUGAAUUUUUUA